rnacentral:rRNA from 1 species
UACGUAGGGUGCAAGCGUUGUCCGGAAUCAUUGGGCGUAAAGCGCGCGUAGGUGGCUUUGUAAGUCCGUUGUGAAAGUCAAAGGCUCAACCUUUGAAUGCCGAUGGAUACUGCGGAGCUAGAGUACGGAAGAGGCGAGUGGAAUUCCUGGUGUAGCGGUGGAAUGCGCAGAUAUCAGGAGGAACACCAAUAGCGAAGGCAGCUCGCUGGGACGUUACUGACACUAAGGCGCGAAAGCGUGGGGAGCGAACGAGG